rnacentral:rRNA from 2 species
UCGAACGCACUGACGUCGACCGAAGCUGCUUGCAGUGGACGUUGAUUGACGUGAGUGGCGGACGGGUGAGUAACACGUGGGUAACCUACCCUUAAGUGGGGGAUAACAUUUGGAAACAGAUGCUAAUACCGCAUAACCAUUCAGACCACAUGGUCUGAAUGUAAAAGACGGCCUUUGGCUGUCACUUUUGGACGGACCCGCGGCGUAUUAGUUAGUUGGUAAGGUAACGGCUUACCAAGACAAUGAUACGUAGCCGACCUGAGAGGGUAAUCGGCCACAUUGGGACUGAGACACGGCCCAAACUCCUACGGGAGGCAGCAGUAGGGAAUCUUCCACAAUGGACGAAAGUCUGAUGGAGCAACGCCGCGUGAGUGAAGAAGGUUUUAGGAUCGUAAAACUCUGUUGUUGGAGAAGAACAGGGACUAGAGUAACUGUUAGUCCUUUGACGGUAUCCAACCAGAAAGCCACGGCUAACUACGUGCCAGCAGCCGCGGUAAUACGUAGGUGGCAAGCGUUGUCCGGAUUUAUUGGGCGUAAAGCGAGCGCAGGCGGUUUUUUAAGUCUGAUGUGAAAGCCUUCGGCUUAACCGAAGAAGUGCAUUAGAAACUGGGAAACUUGAGUGCAGAAGAGGACAGUGGAACUCCAUGUGUAGCGGUGAAAUGCGUAGAUAUAUGGAAGAACA